UACGUUCCCGGGCCUUGUACACACCGCCCGUCACGUCACGAAAGUUGGUAACACCCGAAGCCGGCGGCCCAACCCUUGUGGAGGGAGUCGUCGAAGGUGGGACUGGCGAUUGGGACG
rnacentral:rRNA from 1 species